CAAAUUAAAGCUUAAUAGAAGCAUUUUAUUUACAUUAAAGGGAUUAUUGUGAAAUUCAAUAUAAUUUGA
rnacentral:tRNA from 1 species